ACGAACGCUGGCGGCGUGCCUAACACACGCAAGUCGAGCGGAAUAGUAGCAAUACUAUUUAGCGGCGGACGGGUGAGUAACACGUGGGCAACCUGCCUUAUACAGGGGGAUAGCCACCCGAAAGGGUGAUUAAUACCGCAUAAAACUGAGUUAUCACAUGAUAGUUCAGUCAAAGGAGAAAUCCGGUAUAAGAUGGGCCCGCGUCCCAUUAGAUAGUUGGUGAGGUAACGGCUCACCGAGUCUACGAUGGGUAGCCGAUCUGAGAGGAUGAACGGCCACAUUGGAACUGAGACACGGUCCAGACUCCUACGGGAGGCAGCAGUGGGGAAUAUUGCGCAAUGGGGGAAACCCUGACGCAGCAACGCCGCGUGAGCGAUGAAGGCCUUCGGGUCGUAAAGCUCUGUCUUUGGGGACGAUAAUGACGGUACCCAAGGAGG
rnacentral:rRNA from 1 species